UACAGAGGGUGCAAGCGUUGCUCGGAAUCAUUGGGCGUAAAGGGCAGGUAGGUGGUCUGAUUUGUCUGGAGGUGAAAGCCUUGGGCUUAACCCAAGAAGUGCCCCGGAAACGGUCAGACUUUGAGUCUUGGAGAGGGUUGCGGAAUUCUCGGUGUAGCGGUGAAAUGCGUAGAUAUCGAGAGGAACACCUGCGGCGAAGGCGGGUUGCUGGGCUGACACUGACGCUGAAGUGCGAAAGCUAGGGGAGCGAACGGG
rnacentral:rRNA from 1 species